CAGUCGCCACGGGAAUACGUAGGGUGCAAGCGUUAAUCGGAAUUACUGGGCGUAAAGCGUGCGCAGGCGGUUAUAUAAGACAGAUGUGAAAUCCCCGGGCUCAACCUGGGAACUGCAUUUGUGACUGUAUAGCUAGAGUACGGCAGAGGGGGAUGGAAUUCCGCGUGUAGCAGUGAAAUGCGUAGAUAUGCGGAGGAACACCGAUGGCGAAGGCAAUCCCCUGGGCCUGUACUGACGCUCAUGCACGAAAGCGUGGGGAGCAAACAGGAUUAGAGACCCCUGUAGUCCCUGUCUCUUAUAA
rnacentral:rRNA from 1 species